UACAGAGGUCUCAAGCGUUGUUCGGAUUCAUUGGGCGUAAAGGGUGCGUAGGCGGCGCGGUAAGUCGGGCUGUGAAAUCUCGGAGCUUAACUCCGAAACUGCAUUCGAUACUGCCGUGCUUGAGGACUGGAGAGGAGACUGGAAUUUACGGUGUAGCGGUGAAAUGCGUAGAUAUCGUAAGGAAGACCAGUGGCGAAGGCGGGUCUCUGGACAGUUCCUGACGCUGAGGCACGAAGGUCAGGGGAGCAAACGGG
rnacentral:rRNA from 1 species